UGGGGAAUAUUGCACAAUGGGGGAAACCCUGAUGCAGCGACGCCGCGUGGAGGAAGAAGGUCUUCGGAUUGUAAACUCCUGUUGUUGGGGAAGAUAAUGACGGUACCCAACAAGGAAGUGACGGCUAACUACGUGCCAGCAGCCGCGGUAAAACGUAGGUCACAAGCGUUGUCCGGAAUUACUGGGUGUAAAGGGAGCGCAGGCGGGGAGACAAGUUGGAAGUGAAAUCUAUGGGCUCAACCCAUAAACUGCUUUCAAAACUGUUUUUCUUGAGUAGUGCAGAGGUAGGCGGAAUUCCCGGUGUAGCGGUGGAAUGCGUAGAUAUCGGGAGGAACACCAGUGGCGAAGGCGGCCUACUGGGCACCAACUGACGCUGAGGCUCGAAAGUGUGGGUAGCAAACAGGAUUAGAUACCCUGGUAGUCCACACCGUAAACGAUGAUUACUAGGUGUUGGAGGAUUGACCCCUUCAGUGCCGCAGUUAACACAAUAAGUAAUCCACCUGGGGAGUACGACCGCAAGGUUGAAACUCAAAGGAAUUGACGGGGGCCCGCACAAGCAGUGGAGUAUGUGGUUUAAUUCGACGCAACGCGAAGAACCUUACCAAGUCUUGACAUCCCUUGACAGGCAUAGAAAUAUGUUUUCUCUUCGGAGCAAGGAGACAGGUGGUGCAUGGUUGUCGUCAGCUCGUGUCGUGAGAUGUUGGGUUAAGUCCCGCAACGAGCGCAACCCUUAUGGUCAGUUACUACGUAAGAGGACUCUGGCCAGACUGCCGUUGACAAAACGGAGGAAGGUGGGGAUGACGUCAAAUCAUCAUGCCCUUUAUGACUUGGGCUACACACGUACUACAAUGGCGUUAAACAAAGAGAAGCAAGACCGCGAGGUGGAGCAAAACUCAGAAACAACGUCCCAGUUCGGACUGCAGGCUGCAACUCGCCUGCACGAAGUCGGAAUUGCUAGUAAUCGUGGAUCAGCAUGCCACGGUGAAUACGUUCCC
rnacentral:rRNA from 1 species